rnacentral:tmRNA from 1 species
GGGGGUGAACGGUUUCGACUUUGUGCGUUGAUUCAAGGGAAGCGUGCCGGUGCAGGCGAGAGACCACCGCAAGCGUCAUCGCAAACCAAUAAGCGCCGAGUCUAACGACCAGGCCGCUUACUCCCUCGCUGCCUAAGCAGCCAGGAGAGUGAGCUGUCAGCCCGGAGGAGCCUCCGCUCCGGAUGCUGGCAUCAGCAAGGAGGCUCACCUCCGUUCCCGGUCACGGGGAACGGCAGGGACACCCACAGUGACUGGGCCUGUCACAGCGACUUGUCAGCGUGAUCGCCGGGGCCGAGCAGAGACGUAGCUGACUGCGCACGGAGAAGCCUUGAUGAGCCGGCAGAGGACCCGGGUUCGAUUCCCGGCACCUCCACAG